UACAUGGGGUGCAGACGUUGCUCGGAAUCAUUGGGCGUAAAGCGCGCGUAGGCGGUUACUUAAGUUGGAUGUGAAAGCCCUCGGCUUAACUGAGGAAGUGCAUCCAAAACUGAGUAGCUAGAGUACGAAAGAGGGUCGCGGAAUUCCCGGUGUAGAGGUGAAAUUCGUAGAUAUCGGGAGGAACACCGGUGGCGAAGGCGGCGACCUGGGUCGAGACUGACGCUGAGGCGCGAAAGCGUGGGGAGCAAACAGG
rnacentral:rRNA from 1 species